GGCUUUAUUAAAAGAGCUUAAACCUUAAAGUUACUGCACUGCAUAACUUGCAAGGAGGAAGGAUGGUAAGUGAUCUCAUGAAAAUUACUGAAUUAUUAAUGACUUUUAACAAAUCUUGGAACAAUGGAGAAAUCCUUGAGGAUUAAGAACAAAACAACUGAACAACUCCCAACCCAAAAUAUAUUUUUUCUCCUUCUCCAAAAAAGCCUCUCCAGGCCCCCAAAACAAACCAAAACAAAACUCUAGUGUGCCAGUACUUAAAAAUAGAAAAGCUGCGUGAUGAGUUUAAGCACAGCUUAGUCUGAAAUCUCACAGACACAUCAACAAUUGACAUUAAAGGGCACAAUAAGUAAGACCCAGCUAACAUGGUUUCACAGAGAAGAGUUUUCUGUAAAUAUUAUUCUUUAAUUAAUUACAAGUCUCGUUUGGUAAGUGUGGCUGCAUCUCCAGCAGUGUGGAUAGCAGGUGAGGGAGGCAAUUCUGCCUCUCUGCUAUCCUUGCCCUCAGAGCAGUGGAGCAUGGUUGCCAUAGCCCCAGUACAGCAGGAUGCAGGUGCUCCAGGACAGAUCUCUCCCAAACAAGCAGUGGACUGGCAGCAGUGCCACCACCUCAUACCAGCUUGAGCCAAUCCAGCAAACAAUCUGCUGUAAUGCUGAUGGACAGGGAUGGAUUGUUGGAGAAGGCCUUUUUUCCACGUGUCACUUUAGGUGGAGGAGUAUGUUACUGAAGUAACUACAAAACCCAAAUGGUCACAAAAUAUCCAUGUCUAGAGAGCAGGUCUAGUUCAUAACUCAUAAAUGACAGGAAACAGGACUCUAGACUGAAAACCUCUAUGAAAAACCUUCUUUAAUUCCUAGGUUUAUUGUACGGAGUGGGAACAUAGUGAAUGUUUGCUGCAAGUACAGCGCCGUGGAGUUCUGAAGAGAAAUCGCGAAGACAAUGGAGCAGCACCGGAGCAUGCAGGACAACCCUGCAGGCAGGCCGUGGGAGGAGGGAUGGUGCCAGGAACGCCACACACCUGACACACAUGAAACCACAUUCUUGCACUGGUGACAUUUUAUUUUGUUGUCUUUUGAUCUUGCCCAUCUCACUGCAGACUUUACACACCCUGCACAGUGCACACAUCUGCUUUCAGCACAGCACUUGCAAACGCAGUAGCACCUGGUUCCACAGGCAGUUCUUGAGACCACCUUGGCCCUACAGUAUUCCUCACUGUCAAGAACAAUGUGAUCAUGCUGGUAAUAACACAAAUGUACAAACCUGUCUGUUCCCCAGACACUGCAAUGGCUUCCCUGUGAAUUUCAGCACCAGCAAUUUUGUCAGACAGUGCAAAUUUUGCAAUUUUCUGGUACAGUGGGUCUUUGGAUAACAGAGAUUCUGGAGAACCCACUCUUUGAAAAAUAGGACUGCCCAUGCCGCUGCUUCCUGGUAGCCUCUAUGACAUCUGCAGCAUGUAAACACUGGAACAGGUUGCCCAGGAAGGCUGUGGAUGCCCCAACCCUGGUAGUGUUCAAAGCCAGGUUGGAAAAGGCCUUGAACAACCUGGUCUAGUGGGAUGCGUCCCUACCUGUGGCAGUGGAGGUUGAGACUAAAUGAUCUUUCAGGGAAGCCACCACUAACACACCUCAUUUGCACAGAGGUGUUACUGAAAAGAAACAGGUUAUGUAAGACAGUGAAGGUGGUAUCUGCCAAGCAGGGAAAAAGGACACUGUGGGAGCACUGGCAUGACCAAGAACCACACACUGGCAAGGCAGCUUCAUGGAACGUGGUCCCAGCACUAGCAGGCUGCUCAUGUAGGUAUGCACUGUCUUGUAGUGUUUCCCAGGUGAGCAUGAAACAAGUGGGCUUCAGAGUGCAUACAAAGGCCACCUCAUACAUCAUUUACUGGGGGCUCUCAAAGGCUGGUCAAUCAGCAGAGGGCUUGAGAGAACUCAGUCCUUGCAGCACUGGAAGACUUUCUACAAAUCUUUAAUGUCCAACAUUAUAGGAGACAGAUGCCAGGGGAACAGUGGGUUCCUGACAAGGAUAAUAAUGACCUUCUAUCCCUUCCAAGUAGAUGUGCUGCUGUCUGGUGCUGAGCCUAAACACUGGUGUAUGAAAAAAAGCCUUGUGCAAUACGAUGCAGCAAACACUGAGAAGUUCUUUUUAGUGGCAGCCUUGCUGACGAUA